CCGGAUUCAUUGGGUUUAAAGGGUGCGCAGGCGGAUUGGUAAGUCAGGGGUGAAAUCCCACAGCUCAACUGUGGAACUGCCUUUGAUACUGUCAGUCUAGAGUAUAGUUGAAGUUGGCGGAAUGUGUCAUGUAGCGGUGAAAUGCUUAGAUAUGACACAGAACACCGAUCGCGAAGGCAGCUAGCUAAGCUAUAACUGACGCUCAUGCACGAAAGCGUGGGGAUCAAACAGGAUUAGAUACCCUGGUAGUCCACGCUGUAAACGAUGAUUACUCGAUGUUGGCGAUACACAGUCAGCGUCUGAGCGAAAGCAAUAAGUAAUCCACCUGGGGAGUACGAUCGCAAGAUUGAAACUCAAAGGAAUUGACGGGGGCCCGCACAAGCGGAGGAGCAUGUGGUUUAAUUCGAUGAUACGCGAGGAACCUUACCUGGGCUCGAACGUAAGAUGACUGUAGGUGAAAGCUUACAUCUCUUCGGAGCAUUUUACGAGGUGCUGCAUGGUUGUCGUCAGCUCGUGCCGUGAGGUGUCGGGUUAAGUCCCAUAACGAGCGCAACCCCUACCUUUAGUUGCCAUCAGGUCAUGCUGGGGACUCUAAAGGAACUGCCUACGCAAGUAGUGAGGAAGGCGGGGAUGACGUCAAAUCAGCACGGCCCUUACGUCCAGGGCUACACACGUGCUACAAUGGCCGAUACAGAGGGCAGCUACCUGGUGACAGGAUGCAAAUCUCCAAAGUCGGUCUCAGUUCGGAUCGGAGUCUGCAACCCGACUCCGUGAAGUUGGAUUCGCUAGUAAUCGCGCAUCAGC
rnacentral:rRNA from 1 species